AGACCUUGAAAUAGUUAAGUACACAAGAAAUUAAUCGUGAUAACUCUAUUUUCAAAAUCAAAAUAUAUUGAUGUACAAAUUUUUUUUAUAUUGUCGUUCUGUAUAAUUAUUUCUUUUACUACAAUGAAAUUAUUGGACCCAAAUACAGACUCACAUACAUUGAAGUUAUUAGACCCACAGUCAGACCCAUAUAAUAUCGUGAGGAUACACAUUCACCCGUAAUUUAAUAUAUAUAUAUAUAUAUAUAUAUAUAUAUAUAAAAGUUGCAAUCACAAUUAAUUUUGCACUAAAUAAACCUCAUAAAUUCUCUUUCAUCUAACUUAUUAUAUAAAUCUUAUCCUAACUUAGGCUAUUUUCCUCCUACACCAAUUCUUUCUUCUCUCAAUUUUCACUUAUCUUGUUUUUGAUCUACACAAUUAGGCAAUUUUCAACUCUUCUCAUCAAAGAAUUAUUGGGAUAAAUUUCAAAAUAAUAAUAAUAAAAAAAAUGAACCAUACUAAGGAGAAAACACAUGCAAAAGUUGACUUGAAGCUAAACUUACCACUACCAAGGGCAAGAAAUGAACUUUCACCACCAAGAAGAUCAUCAUCAUCAUCUUCUUCUUCUUCUUCUUCAAUGGAGAUCAUAAGAUCACCAACCUCCUCUUGUGUUUCUCAAGAGCCAAGCCCUAUCGAUGAUCGAUCAUUUUCCGAUUGCCCUAGUAGCUCAGAGACAACCUCAAUGAUGCUUGUGGGAUGCCCUAGAUGUUUGAUGUAUGUUAUGUUAUCAGUAAAUAAACCAAAAUGCCCUAAAUGCAAGAGCACUGUUUUGCUUGAUUUAUUCCAUGAAGAAAGAAUCAACAACUCAAAGUAAUCAAGGAUCAAGCAUGUUGUAAUAAUACGGGAAAAUGCACGAGUACCCCCUCAACCUAAGCCCGAAAUCUCAGAGACACGCUUAUACUAUAAAUAAUUUUCUACCCUUUCUCGGCGUACGUGGCACUAUCUUGUGGGCCCUGCGCGUGUUGACAUUUUUUUUCAAGUUAGUAUCAUGUAGGCCGAAAAGGGGUAUAAAAUUAGUUAUAAAAUAAGUUCAGGGAAUAAUAGGACCUUAAUAUUGGAGGUGCUUAUGUAUUUUCCUUAUAUUUUAUCAAUAUUAGAUUAUAGUAGCUUUUAUUGAGUUUUGAUUAUCUUGAUAUUAUUGGAUUAAUGUGUGAUCAUGAAAAUUUGGAAAUUUUGUAUUACAACUAGUGCUAUAGUAACAAGUCAUAUUAAUUUGCAACCCAAUGAAACCUACUAUACUAUAUAGUUUGGUUAAUCAAAUUAAUAUUUUGUUGUUA